CGCCGGUUUUUCCGGAACAGGGUAGUUCGUGGUACUCGGGGAUGAUUGAGGGACGCACAGCAGGUCAAAGCGACGUAGUAGACGAAAAGACGCGGCUUGGCUGUAAAAUUUAGAAGACGAAUACGAGUUAUAGAUAAAGCUGUUACAUAGUCUAUAUUUAGUGUUGUGGUGAUAAACCGAAAUCCUAAGAGUAAAUGUAACCAGUAAGUUAACAGUGUGUUAGUUCGUUCAAUCUCAUCUAUUAAACUUUUAUCAUUUAAUACAAUUUUGUGUUUCAAUACCACGUAUCCACUAUUUUGGAGUAAAAUCCUACAAUAAGCCUAGGCUCUCAAUAACGUGUAAGCUGAAAUCAGAAACAACCAAUGAGUGGGUAAUAGAGAACCGAGAACCCAAGAGGAAAAAAUGAAAGACAACAGCAGGGAAAAGUAGAAGAGUGAAGGCACAAAAAUCCCAGGCAUCGCAGCGGAAAGAGCCAAGCAAGUAAAUGGGCUAAAACCGAUUUUGGAAAUUGCAAUUAACGGAAAGGAAUUAAUUUUCACCAGUCUCAGUGGCGAGUUCCAGCAUAAGUCCAUUCUAAUUCUAGACGAAGAAGUAGACGAAACUAUUGCUGUAGAGUACCAUAUUAAGAGUAUUGCAAGAAAAACAGACGACCACACACUGGAAAUCGAAUCGACAGGAACGAUAGCAGAAAGAGGAAUCAGGCGUUACGAGUUUUCAGAUAAAAGCCUCAUUAUGACCAUCGAAAACGACAACAAAAACAUUCCGAUUGCAAGACGAUACUAUAGCCGGAUUUAAACAGAUAAAGAGAAACUUGUACUUAAAGUUAAGCUUAUUUAUUUUUUUGUUUGUGCGUGCUUUUAGUUACAUUAAUUACUAAUUUAUACGGGUACAUGUAGAGUGAAUGCAGCCUAAUCAUCAAAAUUAAUAUGUAAAUUAGCAAUAAUUAUAGUAAAUAAAUACACACUAAAUAAAAUAAAAAAUGAGGCCAAUUUUGUCUUUUGCCUUUUGGUAAUACCGAAAAAGGA